UCAUCCAAGGAGACUUUGACACGCAACAGCAAAGUGAGAUGGAACUCAUCAGCUCUUAAAUAGAGAACCUGCUCUGCCAACUCAUAUAAGUGAAUAUUUUGCAGGGGGAAUUGCCGCCACAGCAGCACAAACACUGUUUUAUAACAGCCCCUAAGGAACAGGAGCUAAUGUGGACAUUUGGCUGAAACCUGAGCUGCUUCCCGGAAACAACAGUGAUCCAGUUUAUUGGAUUGGUGCAUCCCUAAUAAACUGCAGACAAAAUACUGGAUCAGUAGAUUAAAAAAAAGGAUUAUCUGAAUAAUCUUUAAAUAAUCCUACAGUGCUUCUGAAUAUUUGCUAAAUGGCCUGAAAAAAUUAUUCAUUUGCAAAAUAUCAGAUUCCAGUGUCAGUUUGUCUUGUGUCAAACUCGUAUACUUAUAUUCUUCACUAGUGAAGUUACUGGAGAUGUGAGAAUGAUUAAGAAACCCUGUGCACUGUUCCACUAAUUAUUAGUUUUGUGUCAUUUCCUUGAAAUGAACAUCAAUAAAUGUAACAUUUCUAUCUACAGGA